rnacentral:lncRNA from 1 species
UCAAAUUUAGGAGACGCACUUCCUAGUUUGGGUUUUUCAGAUUUUUAUUUCUUUAGGAGACGCAUAUCCUAGUCGAGUCUUCAAUUUUACUCUCAUCAUUGCAUCAUUCAUCAAUAGCAUAGGUGAUUUAUAGUUCUGCUAACAACUCACAAAUCUUCCUAGUGCAAACUGGGGCAGAAAAGUUUCUUUCAUUUUGUCUAUUUUGUUGUAGUAUCAGGCGCCCACCUGGAGAAUGAGGGAAUUCAUUUCAAGUUUAAAGUCAUCAGGCGCCCACCUGGAGAACGAGGGAAUUUAUUUUCAGUUUUAAGACAGCAGGCGCCCACCUGAAGAAUGAGGGAAUUUAUUUCAAGUUUUAAGUCGCAGGCGCCCACCUGGAGAACGAGGGAAUUCAUUUCAGUUUUAAGUCAUCAGGCGCCCACCUGGAGAACGAGGAAAUUUAUUUCCAGUUUUAACUCAUCAGGCGCCCACCUGGAGAAUGAGGGAAUAUAUUUCAAGUUUUAAGUCAUCAGGUGCCUACCUGGAGAAUGAGGGAAUUCAUUUCAAGUUUUAAGUCAUCAGGCGCCCACCUGUAGAACGAGGGAAUUUAUUUCAAGUUUUAAGUCAUCAGGUGCCCACCUGGAGAAUGAGGGAAUUCAUUUCAAGUUCAAGGCAUUAGCAGGCACCCACCUGGAGAACGAGGGAAUUUAUUUCA